rnacentral:tmRNA from 1 species
GGGGAUGACAGGUUUCGACAGGGGAGGGUAGGCACGGACUGCAAGCCGAGAAGCCUGACCUCGUUAAAUCGGGCAACAAUCACAAGUGCCGCGAAAGUACCUGCUUUCAAUGCACGCUCCUACAACGCACUUCCGCUCGCCGCGUAAGUCGUAGCGUAGGAGAUGCUAUGACCGCUGAUUAGCGGUCACGUCCGUCGUCAUCCGCCUCCGAGGGGUGACGAACGGGCGACGCAAAUAUCGGAGUGCGGCGCGCUGACGUCGAUAUCGUGCGCCAAAGGGGGCGAGGGCCCCACAAUCGGCUGGCCCGCCGCCGACUCGGUCGGCGGACGAAGCGGUGGGCGACAACCCUGGCGCUGACUAAGCUUGUAGAUGUGCGUGGUGAACUCUUCUGGACCCGGGUUCGAUUCCCGGCAUCUCCACCA